rnacentral:rRNA from 1 species
AGGUAUCGUAAUUGAAGAGGUUUGGAAAGACCCACCACAGAAGGUAAUAGUCCUGUAUGUUAAACGAGAAGACUUCAGAUAUGAUCCAGAGUACCACGGGACACGUGAAACCCUGUGGGAAGCAGGAGGGACCACCCUCCAAGGCUAAAUACUACCUAGUGACCGAUAGCGUAUAGUACCGUGAGGGAAAGGUGAAAAGAACCCCGGGAGGGGAGUGAAAUAGAACCUGAAACCCUGCACUUACAAGCUGUGGAAGCACAUUUCUUGUGUGACCGCGUACUUUUUGUAGAACGGGCCAACGAGUUACGUUAAGUAGCAAGGUUAAGCACUUAAGGUGCGGAGCCGUAGCGAAAGCGAGUUUUAACUGAGCGUUCAGUUACUUGACGUAGACCCGAAACCGGGCGACCUACCCAUGAGCAGGAUGAAGCGAAAGUAAAAUUUCGUGGAGGUCCGAACCCACGAGCGUUGAAAAGCUCGGGGAUGACUUGUGGGUAGCGGUGAAAUUCCAAUCGAGCCCGGAGAUAGCUGGUUCUCCCCGAAAUAGCUUUAGGGCUAGCCUCAAGGUGAGAGAUACGGAGGUAGAGCACUGAAUGUCCUAGGGGGUAUUGCACCUACCGAAGACUAUCAAACUCCGAAUGCCGUCAUCUUAUACUUGGGAGUCAGACUGUGGGUGAUAAGAUUCAUAGUCGAAAGGGCAACAGCCCAGAUCGUCAGCUAAGGUCCCUAAAUGUAAGUUAAGUGGUAAAGGAUGUGGGAUUGCACAGACAACCAGGAUGUUGGCUUAGAAGCAGCCACUCAUUCAAAGAGUGCGUAAUAGCUCACUGGUCGAGUGAUCCUGCGCCGAAGAUUUCCGGGGCUAAAACUUACUACCGAAGCUACGGCAUCAGUAAUGAUGGGUAGGGGAGCUUCCCAUACGGGUUGAAGCAUGACCGUAAGGACAUGUGGACAGUAUGGGAGUGAGAAUGUUGGCAUGAGUAGCGAGAUGUGGGUGAGAAUCCCACAGGCCGUAAACCCAAGGUUUCCAGGGGAAGGUUCGUCCGCCCUGGGUUAGUCGGGACCUAAGCUGAGGCCGAAAGGCGUAGGUGAUGGACAACAGGUUGAUAUUCCUGUACUACCGAUAACCGUUUGAGAGAAGGGAUGACACAGUAGGAUAAGCUAAGCACACUGUUGGUUAUGUGUGCCCAAGCAUUGAGGCAGUCAAAGUAGGCAAAUCCGCUUUGAUAAUGCUGGGAUGUGAUGGGGAGCGAAAUUUAGUAGCGAAGUAGCUGAUUUCACACUGUCAAGAAAAGUCUCUAUCGAGGUUAAAGGUACCCGUACCGCAAACCGACACAGGUGGGUGAGGAGAGUAUCCUAAGGCCAGCGAGAGAACUGUUGUUAAGGAACUCGGCAAAAUGACCCCGUAACUUAGGGAUAAGGGGUGCCACCAUCAGGUGGCCGCAGAGAAUAGGCCCAAGCGACUGUUUACCAAAAACAUAGGUUUCUGCUAAGUCGCAAGACGAUGUAUAGGAGCUGACGCCUGCCCGGUGCUGGAAGGUUAAGGGGAUCUGUUAGAGCAAUCGAAGCAGUGAACUUAAGCCCCAGUAAACGGCGGCCGUAACUAUAACGGUCCUAAGGUAGCGAAAUUCCUUGUCGGGUAAGUUCCGACCCGCACGAAAGGCGUAACGAUUUGGGCACUGUCUCAACAACAGACUCGGUGAAAUUGUAAUUCCGGUGAAGAUGCCGGAUACCUGCGACAGGACGGAAAGACCCCAUGGAGCUUUACUGUAGCUUGACAUUGGGUCUUGGUACUACAUGUACAGGAUAGGUGGGAGGCUUUGAAACCAGGACGCCAGUUUUGGCGGAGCCAUCCUUGGGAUACCACCCUUGUAGUACUGGGACUCUAACCAUAGGCCAUGAAUCUGGUCUUGGGACACUGUCAGGUGGGCAGUUUGACUGGGGCGGUCGCCUCCCAAAAGGUAACGGAGGCGCUCAAAGGUUCUCUCAGUACGGUCGGAAAUCGUACGUAGAGUGUAAAGGCAAAAGAGAGCUUGAUUGCAAGACAUACAGGUCGAGCAAGGAUGAAAAUCGGACUUAGUGAUCCGGUGGUUCUGCGUGGAAGGGCCAUCGCUCAACGGAUAAAAGCUACCCUGGGGAUAACAGGCUUAUCUCCCCCAAGAGUCCACAUCGACGGGGAGGUUUGGCACCUCGAUGUCGGCUCAUCACAUCCUGGGGCUGUAGUAGGUCCCAAGGGUUGGGCUGUUCGCCCAUUAAAGUGGUACGCGAGCUGGGUUCAGAACGUCGUGAGACAGUUCGGUCCCUAUCCGUCGCAGGCGUAGGAAAUUUGAGAAGACCUGUCCUUAGUACGAGAGGACCGGGAUGGACGUACCUCUGGUGUACCAGUUGUNCUGCCAAGGGCAUGGCUGGGUAGCUAUGUACGGAAUGGAUAAGCGCUGAAAGCAUCUAAGCGCGAAGCCAACUUCAAGAUAAGAUUUCCCACCGCAAGGGUAAGACCCCAGAAAGACUAUCUGGUUGAUAGGUCGAAGGUGUAAGUGCAGCAAUGUAUUUAGCUUAUCGAUACUAAUAGGUCGAGGACUUGACCAA